UCGAACGGCAGCGCGGACUUCGGUCUGGCGGCGAGUGGCGAACGGGUGAGUAAUACAUCGGAACGUACCCUGUUGUGGGGGAUAACUAGUCGAAAGAUUAGCUAAUACCGCAUACGACCUGAGGGUGAAAGUGGGGGACCGCAAGGCCUCACGCAGCAGGAGCGGCCGAUGUCUGAUUAGCUAGUUGGUGGGGUAAAGGCCCACCAAGGCGACGAUCAGUAGCUGGUCUGAGAGGACGAUCAGCCACACUGGGACUGAGACACGGGCCAGACUCCUACGGGAGGCAGCAGUGGGGAAUUUUGGACCAUGGGGGGCACCCUGAUCCAGCAAUGCCCGGUGUGUGAAGAAGGCCUUCGGGGUUGUAAGCCCUUUUGGUCGGAAAGAAAUCGCGCUGGUUUAUACCUGGGCGUGGAUUACCGUACCGGGAGAAAUAUCCACCGGCUAACUACU
rnacentral:rRNA from 1 species